ACGCUGGCGGCGUGCUUUAUGCAUGCAAGUCGAACGGUCUCGAUUUAUCGAGAUAGUGGCGAACGGGUGAGUAACGCGUAAGUAACCUGCCCCUAAGUAAGGAAUAACUCUGGGAAAUUAGAGCUAAUACUAUAUGUGGUGGUGGAGGUAAUGCUUCAUCACUAAAGCUUUAGGGCGCUUAGGGAGGGGCUUGCGUCCGAUUAGCUAGUUGGUAGAGUAAUGGUUUACCAAGGCGAUGAUCGGUAGCUGGUUUGAGAGGACAUCCAGCCACACUGGGAUUGAGAUACGGCCCAGACUCCUACGGGAGGCAGCAGCAAGGAAUUUUGUGCAAUGGGCGAAAGCCUGACACAGUGACGCCGUGUGGGGGAUGAAGGCUUUCGGGUUGUAAACCCCUUUUCUCAGGGAAGAAUAAUGACGGUACCUGAGGAAUAAGUCGUGGCUAACUACGUGCCAGCAGCCGCGGUAAUACGUAGGCGGCGAGCGUUAUCCGGAUUUACUGGGCGUAAAGAGGGUGUAGGCGGUUUUUCAAGUCGAUUGUAAAAUCUCCCGGCUUAACUGGGAGGGGCCAGUCGAUACUGUUAAACUAGAGGGCAGCAGGGGGAGGUGGAAUUCCCGGUGUAGUGGUGAAAUGUGUAGAUAUCGGGAGGAACACCAGUGGCGAAGGCGGCCUCCUAGGCUGUUUCUAACGCUAGAGACCCGAAAGCGUGGGGAGCAAACAGGAUCAGACACCCUGGUAGUCCACGCUGUAAUCGAUGGACACUAGGUAUAGGGAGUAUCGACCCUCUCUGUGCCGAAGCUAACGCACUUAUAAGUUUCCCGCCUGGGGACUACGCCGCAAGGCUAAAACUCA
rnacentral:rRNA from 1 species